UACGUAGGUACCGAGCGUUAUCCGGAUUUACUGGGCGUAAAGCGCGUUCAGGCGGUUUGGCAAGUCGGGCAUGAAAUCUCUCGGCUCAACCGGGAGAGGUUGUCCGAUACUUCCAGACUUGAGGGCAGUAGAGGGUGGUGGAAUUCCGGGUGUAGUGGUGAAAUGCGUAGAUAUCCGGAGGAACACCAGUGGCGAAAGCGGCCACCUGGACUGCACCUGACGCUGACACGCGAAAGCUAGGGGAGCGAACGGG
rnacentral:rRNA from 1 species